UUGGUACGACAGGGGAGCCGUUAAGGCUGAGAGUGCGGAAAGUCCGCAGACCCUCGAACCUGAACCGGGUAAUGCCGGCGGAGGUAGUCGAGCUCUGCCACAA
rnacentral:ncRNA from 2 species